ensembl:lncRNA
CGGCAAAGGUAACGUGCAUGUUUACCGGUAUGUCUGGAUCAUAUUGCAAUGGCACGAAGACACAUUGAAGCAUUUCAGUUUGACCCAGAAUCCGAUCCAGAUGGAGAAGCAACGGAUGAAGAAGUUGCAACUCAGCGCCUCCAGAAGGAUGUUUCCGAAUGAUGUCUUCACAAAAAACUUCAACCUGCCCCUGUCCCAGACUGUUUCCAGAAGACCAUUCUGAUUCUCCCAGUGAUCAAGUAAACCAAGAUUCACUCUGCCAGUGCCUAGAACAAAUCACUGAUUGGAUGUCAUGGCUGGCUCUCCACCUGUCCCUCGCCUGCACUUCUAGCUGUCAUCAACCAAACGCACCCUUCCAAUCACCUGCACCUGCUCCUCAUUGUAAUCAUGCACCGGACCCCAUCAACUCAUCACCUGCCCGAUACAUGUCACCCAGAUUGUUUAGUCCUUCGUCAAUACACAACUGUUGUGUAGCGCUGCCACACAAUUCUUCAGGCUGGAACCCUUUACCUACAUCUAGUCUAUUCUGUCCCAUAGCGUGGUGGUGUGCUGUCAAUUCUGUUGGUCCGUCGUGUUCUGCCCACUGUGUUGUGUCAUUAAAACCCAUCCGCCUGUAACUGUAUCCGUCUGCCUUGCCCCUGUAUGUUGCAUUGGAUGUGCCAG